AGUAACACGUGGGCAACCUGCCUGUAAGACUGGGAUAACUCCGGGAAACCGGGGCUAAUACCGGAUAACCCGUUCCACCUCAUGGUGGAGCGGUAAAAGAUGGCCUCUGGCUAUCACUUACAGAUGGGCCCGCGGCGCAUUAGCUAGUUGGUAAGGUAACGGCUUACCAAGGCGACGAUGCGUAGCCGACCUGAGAGGGUGAUCGGCCACACUGGGACUGAGACACGGCCCAGACUCCUACGGGAGGCAGCAGUAGGGAAUCUUCCGCAAUGGACGAAAGUCUGACGGAGCAACGCCGCGUGAGUGAUGAAGGUUUUCGGAUCGUAAAGCUCUGUUGUUAGGGAAGAACAAGUGCCGUUUGAAUAAGGCGGCACCUUGACGGUACCUAACCAGAAAGCCACGGCUAACUACGUGCCAGCAGCCGCGGUAAUACGUAGGUGGCAAGCGUUGUCCGGAAUUAUUGGGCGUAAAGCGCGCGCAGGCGGUCUCUUAAGUCUGAUGUGAAAGCCCACGGCUCAACCGUGGAGGGUCAUUGGAAACUGGGAGACUUGAGUACAGAA
rnacentral:rRNA from 1 species